rnacentral:tRNA from 1 species
GUGCUUGUAGUUUAGUUGGUUAGAAUAUCGGGUUGUGACUCCGAGGGUCAUGGGUUCGAGUCCCAUCAAGCACCCCA